CAGUCGCCACGGGAAUACGUAGGGUGCAAGCGUUAAUCGGAAUUACUGGGCGUAAAGCGUGCGCAGGCGGUUUUGUAAGUCUGUCGUGAAAUCCCCGGGCUCAACCUGGGAAUGGCGAUGGAGACUGCAAGGCUAGAAUCUGGCAGAGGGGGGUAGAAUUCCACGUGUAGCAGUGAAAUGCGUAGAUAUGUGGAGGAACACCGAUGGCGAAGGCAGCCCCCUGGGCUAAGAUUGACGCUCAUGCACGAAAGCGUGGGGAGCAAACAGGAUUAGAUACCCCUGUAGUCCCUGUCUCUUAUAC
rnacentral:rRNA from 1 species